rnacentral:rRNA from 1 species
CCGGCACGGGUGAGUAACACGUAUCCAACCUGCCGUCUACUCUUGGACAGCCUUCUGAAAGGAAGAUUAAUACAAGAUGGCAUCAUGAGUCCACAUGUUCACAUGAUUAAAGGUAUUCCGGUAGACGAUGGGGAUGCGUUCCAUUAGAUAGUAGGCGGGGUAACGGCCCACCUAGUCUUCGAUGGAUAGGGGUUCUGAGAGGAGGGUCCCCCACAUUGGAACUGAGACACGGUCCAA